GGGGGUGAAGUUCAAUGGUAGAGCACUUGCCUAGCAUGCAUGAGGGCUUUGGUUCAAUUCCCAGCACCA
rfam:Ictidomys tridecemlineatus contig061283, whole genome shotgun sequence.